AUGACUCUUAGUAAUGAAUAUUUCAACUUUCACAUCGAUAAAGAACAUAGCAUAAUGCGAUGCUUGGUGUGAAAUGUAGAAUCCCGUGAACCAUUGAGUCCUUGCAAGUAAGGUAUGCCUUAAGCCACUAAAUCAAAGGGAUGCUAGCUUGGGUGUCAUGCAUCAUCACCCCCCAAGCCCUUACCUAUCAAGCUCUAGUUAAUGAGGUAGAAGAUGGCCAUCUAUGAUCUUGUUGAUCGUGGUAGCCCAAAAAUGAGUCCCCUACAAUGAUAGCGCUAUGAUCGUCAAUGGUAAACCUCACUAAAUGCUUUAUCUCCGGUGACGUGUGCUCAUUGCCUAUUCAGACUCCAUCAAAACCCUCGCAUCGCAUGAUCAAUACUCACAUCAUGACCCUAGGUCAGGUAGGAUUACCUAUUGAGUUUAAGCAUAUCAAUAAGCAAAGAAAAAGAAGCUUGCCAAGAUUCCCCUAGUAACAAUGAACAAAUCAAAGAAAGCCUAGCUUGAGAAUCGAGCACCCCCAGCAUCCAAAUUAUAGUCUAGACAAGCAUCCUCAGUGGUGGACGAGGCCUAAGUCCCCUAGAAAGAGGUGCCAAAAAGGGUAAGAGCCCUGUUGUGCUUAGACCUUGUCACACCACAAGGCACUAUUUACAAGUCAGGUUUUGGGAAUAUAGCCCCAAUCAGGCGAUAAAUUCCAUCCAAGGUAAAUACAGGUAAGAGACUGAUAGCGAACAAGCACUACGAGGGAAAGAAGAAAAGACUUUGAAAAGAGAGUUAAAGAGUGCUUGAAAUUGUUAGGAGGGAAGUGGAUGGGGGUCAAUGAUGAGCCUUAGUUGGAUAUGGAAUGGUGAGAGCCAAUCCACCAAUCUGCUUAGGGCAUGGAUUGACAUGAGUCAUGGCAACAACCAAAGCCUAGGCUUUUGAUAUGCCCAUAGAGAUAUCAUCGUCAUGAUCAUAGAACAUAGCAAACACCAUCUCGGCAUGCCUUGACACUCGUGUGCUUUCAUCAUCGACUUGUGGGCUCCCCAUCCGACCCAUCUUGAAACAUAGACCAAAGAGUUUGACAUGUGUACCAAUCAACAGGCUAGGAAACUCAUAAGACGCAAGGAAGCUGAUGGUGGGAUCUUUUACAAGAGCACCACCAAUCGACUUUGAUCUUAUGAGAAGGGUUCGUGUAUGAGCAUGCUUGUUAGGACCCAAAAGAUGGUGAACUACACUUAUGCGAGGCAAUCAUGGAAAUCAAAAUCCACUAAGGAAUGGGUAACAACUCACUUGCCAAAUCAACUAGCCCCAAAAAUGGAUGGCACUUAAAUGUGUAACCCAUACUUGGUAAUCAGGGCAAAGGCCAGGCCCUAAUGAGUAGGAGGAUGCAACAAUCAUCACAAAACUCAUGUGUAAACCCCAGCAGAAUGGCCAUCAGUGUAUAUCUUAAUGGUAGUAGCAAAUAUUCGAAUGAGAAUUUUAAAGGCCAAAAUGGGGAUAGGUUCCAUGUAAACAACACUUGUACAAGAGUUAGUCAAUCCUAAGAGAUAGGGGAAGCUCAUUUGACAGCAUGUCUAGUGUGAGCUUCAAAAGGAAAUUAAGUUAAAAAUCUUAAACCAAAGCAUGACAGCUGAUAGCAAUAAUAAGGAAUCCAAAGACAUUGGUGGGGGCUUUAAAAAGAGUUAUCCUUUUUGUUUAAUGACCUACCUACCUUAGCAAUGGCUCAACCAGAGGUAGGGUUUAGCAACCAAAAAAGUACCGUACGUCUAGUUGUGUCUCGUGCACUCCCAAUAACCCUUGAAAAUUCAAAGGACUAAGUGUUGUCCACACCCAAUCAUACUUAUAACCACAUCAGGUCUCUAAAGUGAAUAGCCUUUGGUUGAUGGAAUAAUGUAGGCAAAGAUAGUCAGUAAAAUGGAUCCAUAACCUUGAGAAAAGGAUUAGCUCUGAGGGCUGGGCAUAAGAGCCCCAGUCUUGAACCCAUCAACUGCUAGUGCACUACUCAAGCUACUUUCGCAAUAAGAGGAGGUUGCCACUUGUCGAUCAAUGUACGAACUGGGAAUGACUUGAUUAAAGGUCUUCCUCAGGUGAUGAAUAGUCACUCAAAACUGGUACAAACAAUAGGAAUCCGACUAUUUAAUUAAAACAAAGCAUUGCGACGAUCCCUCCAAAUACUCACAUAAUGCAAUUUUUACCUAAUGCUUUAAAUGCCAAAGUGAGGAAAUUCAACCAAGUGCAGGCAAAUGAUGGGAGUAACUAUGACUCUCUUAAGGUAGCCAAAUGCCUCGUCAUAUAAUUAUUGACACGCAUGAAUGGAUUAACAAGAUUUUUGUUACCUUAUCUACUAUCUAGCAAAACCAUAUCCAAAGGAAUGAACUUGGCAGAAUCAAUAAGGAAAGAAGACCCUAUUAAGCUUAAAUCUAGUCUGACUUUGUGAAAUGACUUGAGAGGUGUAGGAUAAGCUAGAGCCAUCAGGUGAAAUUGAAAUACCACUACUUUUAACAUUAUUUUACUUAUUCUAUGAAUCAGAGGUAGGGCAUGACCCUUUCUUUUAGACCCAAGGCUAGCAUUGGUCGAUCAAUCUAGCAAAAGACAUUGUUAGGUAGGGAGUUUGGCUAGGCUAGCACAUCUGUUAAAAGAUAAUGCAUGUGUCCUACACUGAGCUCAAUGAGAACAAAAAUCUCAUAUGGAACAAAAGGGUAAAACCUCAUUUGAUUCUGAUUUCCAAUAUGAAUACGAACCAUGAAAGCAUGGCCUAUCGAUCCUUUAGACCUUUGAAAUUUAAAGCUAGAGGUGUCAAAAAAGUUACCAUAGGGAUCACUAGCUUGUGGUAGCCAAGCAUUCAUAGUGAUGUUGCUUUUUAAUCCUUUGAUGUCGGCUCUUUCUAUCAUUAUGAAGUAGAAUCCACCAGGUAUUGGAUUGUUCACCCACCAAUAAGGAACGUGAGUGUAGUUUAGACCAUCAUGAGACAAGUUAGUUUUACCUUACUAAUGGUAGCAUCACAAUAGUAAUUCAACCUAGUACGAGAAGAAUCAUUAAUUCACACAAUCGGUCAUCACACUUGGUUGAAAAGCCAGUAGCAUGAAGCUACCAUGCAUUGGAUUAUGACUGAACGCCUUUAAGUUAGAAUCCCAGCAAAAAGCAAUGCACGUGCCCAUCACCUAAUUUUUGACCUGCAGGCCCCCAAGGGCACAUGUCGUAGGUGCAGCCCCUACGGUGGACAAGCCGUGUAAGCCUCCUUGGAGCUUAAUUCUCACUGAGCAGUAGGUAAAAUCUUUUAUAG
rnacentral:rRNA from 1 species